rnacentral:pre_miRNA from 1 species
AACAAAUCAACUUUUCGGUUUUUAGAUAUAAUGUUCAACUCUUCGUCUUAUUUAAAAAACUUUUAUGAUUAAUAAUUUUAUUUUUAUUAUAUGAUAAAACAUUAAUAGUAUUUUAUGUGUGACUAAUUUUUAAAAAAAAUUUAAAAAUUUUUCAAAUAAAACGGAUGAUAAAACGCUCGACACAAAAACUGAAGAGUUGAUUUUUU